UUUAACCUAAAAGCUUGUGCUUUAAUCUAGCUGAAUGUAGAGCUCGUGAAGCAGGGGGUGUCUGACUUUCAACUGCGCUGGAGGACUCAGCCAGAUGGACAGAUUUUCCACCGUGAGGAAGAAGAGAAGGAGGGUGGACCCACACAGACAGGUGUCUGUGGAACUGAAGGGGGCUAGCCUGGUGAGAGACUCCAAGGAGACACGACAGUUUAAGAUUGGACUGUAUUGAUGACAAUCAAUCUACCGUAAAACUUUAAUUAAACCCAGUCUCAUAUAGCUAUGCAACAACACAUUUCAGCAACUAAACGCCUGUUUCAAAUAAACUCAGGGUCUAAAUCAAAUCAAUGUUAUUUGUCACAUACACAUGGUUAGCAGAUGUUAAUACGAGUGUAGCAAAAGUGCAAUACAUGGUAUAAAAUACAGUAUAUACAUGUGAUAUUUUUUUAUUGUACUCGGCAAGUCAGUUAAGAACAAAUUCUUAUUUUCAAUGACAGCCUAGGAACAGUGGGUUAACUGCCUUAUUCAGGGUCAGAACGACAGAUUUUUACCUUGUGAGCUCGGGGAUUCGAUCUUGCAACCUUUCGGUUACUUGUCCAACGCUCUAACCACUAGGCUACCUGCCGCAGAGUAUGAGUAAUGUAAGACAUGUAAACAUUAUUAAAGUGGCAUUAUUUAGAAUGCAUUGUAUAAAGUGACUAGUGAUAAAUUAAUUGUUUACCAGGUUUAAUGUUUGACUUGUUACAGUAAAUCAUUCAGUAAUGACUCUAAAAAAUGGUCAAUCUUCUGUUUUUAUUGCCAGUAAGAAACUGCUAGCCAUUGGCUGCUAACAGUUGAGAACUGCUAUGUAUAAACUGUCAAGCCCAAAAACACUCAACAACUUCGGGAGAACAAACCCCAAGAAAUGAGCAAGAACUGACAAACACAUGUACUUGCAGUUUGUUUGUUACCUAUGCAUAGUCACUUUGGGCUUGCCAGUUUAUACCUAGCAGCCCCACCUACAUGUACAGAUUACCCCUACUAGCCUGUACCCCUGCACACUGACUCAGUACCGGUGUCCCCUGUGUAUAUAGACUCGUUAUUCUUAUUGUUACUUUUUAUUAUAGCUUUUUAUUUUAGUCUACUUGGUAAAUAUUUUCUUCUUCUUGAACUGCACUGGUUGGUUAAGGGCUUGUAAGUAAGCAUUUCACGGUAAAGUCUACACUUGUUGUAUUCGGCAAGUGGGAAAUAGUUUGAUUUCAUUAUUCUGUUAAGGAUUUUAUUUUAUGGGGGCAUUCUCAGACAAAAUACAUGUAACACAGUGUGUAAAUGAUAAAACAUUAGUGCAAAUAAAAAGGUUAAAUGCUG